AAGAUUAAUUAUCUAUUAACGUGGAUUUGGACGACAAUAGGUAAGAACACUAAAUUUAUUUCUAUAUUCGAUAUAAACUUGUUUAUUAGGUUUUUAGUUUGUGAUGUUUCAUUGAUGAUCAUUUUCAUGUUCAUCGUCUUUGAAUUGACAUGAGGAUAUCUAUGGAAAAGUAACUAAUCUGAAAGUAAGCCAACAUAUCGUUUGUCCUUUGUGUGCUAAAGAAAAGAUUUUCUUUUCGCAUCAUGAGGAAGUAUUACAUCAAUUAAAAAAUGUUAGGAAGUUGAUUACUUGUCAUGGAAAAGUAUACCAAUGGAAAUUAUUUGUUAAAGAAGUAUAAUUCUAAGGGUUUUAAGAAUAAAUUGGUUGAACCCAAAAUCUGGAGGAAGUACCUAUAUCCAUACACAGAAUAUGCCCAUUAAAAAUACUAGUCCAAAUUUGCUUUAAUGGUAGACAAUUAUUCAAUACAAAUUAACUUUUUAAGUGACUGAAAUAUUAAAUAGUUUAGAAUAUGGUAUAACAAUGUAAAAAAAUAUUAUUUUCAGGAACGAUUAGGGCCCGAUAUAUUUGAAACUCAUGUUGGACAUAGUAUUGAGUUGGGUAGAAUAUUAUUCUACGUUAAGUGAGGGUAUCAGAUACCUAUUAUUGUACUGUAUUUUAAUAUAUACAUUAGAAUUGUUGGUUUUUU